AUGGAUAAGGAGUGCAAUAUGUUGAAAAAGGUAUUGGAAAACAGUGAUGGUUUAUUGCUUAGCGACACUGGUAGUGACAUCGGCAGUAACACUGGUAGUGACAUUGGCAGUAACAUUGGUAGUGACAUUAGUAGUGACAGUAACAAUGCCCAUACCAGUUAUAACUUAUCUUCUAGCUAUUCUUUAUGUUCUUCCUUAUCAUCGUGCAUUAGCAAUAUUUCGGAAAAUAAUAAAAAUGAACAUGUUUUGUAUAAACGCUUAAAAGAAAAUUCAACUAACAUAUCUUACUUAAAUUUUUUAUGUAGCAAGAAAAAAAAAAAAAAAAACAAAAAAAAAAAAAAAAAACUGUCUAACUUUGUUAAUAAAAAAAAUAAAUCAAUUUAUAUGAAAAACAAGUUUAUUCAUGAAAAAAAAACUGCAAAAAAUAUAAUGCCUUUUUACACUUUAAAACAAUGUCUAACAGGAAAUAUAAACGAAAAAGCGAUAACACACACGGAACUAGCAGUGAUAGAAGAUAAAGCUAAACUAACAAAUAAAAAAAUUAGGAGUAAACACUUAUUGACCGAAAGGAUUAAUAAAUAUCUAAAAAAAAUUAAUAAUAUUAUGUACGGUUCAGGUGAACAAAAAAAAAAAAAAAUAAAUAAAAAAAAUAAAAAUAAAAAUAAAAAUAAAACUGAAACAAAAAAGAAAUUUAAAAAUAAAAGCACAUACAAAUGUAAAAAAACAAAACAAACAGAUGGUGAAUAUUUAUGUUCAAACUUCUUUAUGCAACCUGAUACACCUAUUAAUAAAAGUGUGUUAUAUAAUAAUUAUGUCGAUCAUGCAGAUUAUGCAGAUCAUGCAGAUCAUAUUAAUUAUAGUAACAUGUAUUGUACACUGUGUUAUAAAAUACCAAUAGUUGAUAAAAUAAAAAACUUAUUAUUAGAUAAUGACACAAUAAACAUGUUAUGUUUUCAUUGUUAUAAUACCUUUUUAAAAUUACUAGGAUUAUAUUCAACUAUAUGUAUUGGAUGUUUUAAAUUAUAUUUUCUGUAUAAAGAUAUAUCAAAAUGUGUUUUAUGUAAUAAUUGUGAUAUUAAAAUUAUAAAAAAUAUGAACAGUUCAGAACAAAUAGAUAAAAUAAAAAACGAAUUUAAAUUAUUUAUAUCUUUAUAUAAAUAUCCAUUAAAUCAAAAUAUACAUUCUGACAAUUUUUUAAUUUUUUUUAUUAAUACGAAUUAUUAUUUUAAAUAUUUAUAUUUAUAUUUUAAAACGAAGCAAACAGUUACUAUAUCUAAUAAUUUUGUUUAUUCAGUAUAUAACCCUUCUUUCGUUGAAUUGGUAAGUUAUAUAGCAGAAACAAGAGAAAAUAAAUGGGAUCCAAUACAAACUGAUAAUAAUAGUAGUAGUAGUAGUAGUAUAGGCCGUGUUCAUAACAAAAGUGACAGUUUUUAUAAUAACAAUGAUAAAAUUAUGAAUAAAAUAUUUGAUACUACUAUAACAAACUUACAAACUAACCUUUUUAAUAUGAACGAACAAUAUUAUAACAAACCAACACAGUUUUAUAAAAAAACUUUUAACAACACAUUCGAAAAAAAUAAUAACAAAUUAAAUAAAUUACAAAAAAAAAAACAAAUGUAUAAUUUAUAUUUUACUCUGGAUCAAGCUGAAGAAAUUUCAAACAAUGCGCUGUUGAUGAUGGUAGAAAAUAUGAACCAUCAACAAUUUAAUUUGUUGGAAUGUUUGAAACAAUGCAACGAUUAUAACUAUAUAGGAAAAAAAAAAAAAAUAGAAGUGUUUAUUCUGCACAUGAUAAAAAAAAUAAAGAAUAUACAAUGGAUGUUUAUGGACAUGAGCAUGAACAACAGUUCAUAA
ensembl:lncRNA